rnacentral:rRNA from 1 species
GACGAACGCUGGCGGCGUGCCUAAUACAUGCAAGUAGAACGCAGUCGCGAACGGGCGAGUAACGUGUAGUUAACUGUCUCAUAGCGGGCGAUUACUAUUGGAUACGAUAGCUAAUACUUCAUACUGCGAGAUGGACCUGCGUUGUAUUAGCUAGUUGGUGAGGUAAAGGCUCACCAAGGCGACGAUCCAGAGCCGACCUGAGAGGGUGAUCGGCCGCACUGGGACUGAGACACGGCCCAGACUCCUACGGUGAGCAGCAGAAGGGAGUCGUCGGCAAUGAGCGGAGGACUGACCGAGCAGCGCCGCGUGAGGAAAGAGGGUUUUCGGGUCGUAGAGCUCUGUUGUUAGAGAAGCGGUAGCUAACCAGAAAGGGACGGCUAACUACGUGCCAGCAGCCGCGGUAAUAC